rnacentral:misc_RNA from 1 species
GAUGAAAAACGUAGCAAAAUGCGAUAAGUAAUGUGAAUUGCAGAAUUCAGUGAAUCAUCGAAUCUUUGAACGCACAUUGCGCCCGCUGGUAUUCCGGCGGGCAUGCCUGUUCGAGCGUCAUUUCAACCCUCAAGCCCCCGGGUUUGGUGUUGGGGAUCGGCUCUGCCCUUCUGGGCGGUGCCGCCCCCGAAAUACAUUGGCGGUCUCGCUGCAGCCUCCAUUGCGUAGUAGCUAACACCUCGCAACUGGAACGCGGCGCGGCCAUGCCGUAAAACCCCAACUUCUGAAUGUUGACCUCGGAUCAGGUAGGAAUACCCGCUGAACUUAAGCAUAUCAAUAAGCGGAGGA